rnacentral:rRNA from 1 species
GGGCCCGCACAAGCAGUGGAUUAUGUGGUUUAAUUCGAAGCAACGCGAAGAACCUUACCAGGUCUUGACAUCCGGCUAACGAGGCAGAGAUGCGUCAGGUGCCCUUCGGGGAAAGUCGAGACAGGUGGUGCAUGGUUGUCGUCAGCUCGUGUCGUGAGAUGUUGGGUUAAGUCCCGCAACGAGCGCAACCCUUGCCAUUAGUUGCUACGCAAGAGCACUCUAAUGGGACCGCUACCGACAAGGUGGAGGAAGGUGGGGACGACGUCAAAUCAUCAUGCCCCUUAUGACCUGGGCUACACACGUAAUACAAUGGCCGCCAACAACGGGAGGCGAAGGCGCGAGCCGGAGCGAAUCCCCAAAAGCGGUCUCAGUUCGGAUCGCAGGCUGAAACCCGCCUGCGUGAAGUUGGAAUUGCUAGUAAUCGCGGAUCAGCAUGCCGCGGUGAAUACGUUCCCGGGCCUU